CUAAGUGACACGAGAGUGCGCGGUAACGAGACGGGAACGUUUACUUAGAAGAAGGCUGACAGCAGGAGAGAAGAUGCUUUAGCUGCUGUUGUAUUUUGCCCACAGUAUAAAUCAGAGCCGCCUUUCUAAAAUCAGCUUCUGAGAACCACUCUCAAGUCGGCAGAAACCAUCAUAAAAAGACCCUUAAGGGGGGAGAAAUAACAUGUGCCAAGAGUUGACUGUUUGCCAGAAAGAAGGACGAGAACCUCUGCUCUUUUUCUCCAGAAAAUAGCAGUGAAAUGAAGGGGCGGCCAAGAGUGGCGGCCCCUGCAGCUCGGGCUGGAGUCUGGCUUAUCCGGAGGGAUGUGUGAAGACCUUUCUGGAAAGCCCGCUCGCGAAUGUGGUCGGUGUCUGUCUAGUGCCUGGAGUUUUACAGACGCCACGUUGCCGGUUCUGCCAGCAUCGCUGCAGAGACAAAAGAGACGGCGGCGCCCUGCAGAAAGGAGCAUCUCCGUCACCCCAUUCUGAGAGACCAGCCGCCCUUAGAACAUCCAGGACAGACAGAAGCCUUGUUACAGAACCGUGACAGAAUCUGUUGGUGAUUCUGUGAGGUCCUGAGGUACAGUUUAAAGGAGUUUUCAAGCCAAGGGCUAUUUCAAGAUGAAGCAACAUAUCUGAAAGUAAAGAGGGAAACUGUUAAUAUUCUAAUUCAUGGAUGCAAGAGGGCAUCACGAAGAAAUAGAAAAUCAGAACCGAUGAAUAGUGAGAAAGGAGAUUGGGUCAAUGAUCAAAACAUCCCAAGAAAGAGAAGCUGCUGUCCAGACGGCUUGACUGGUGAAUUCCAACAAUCAUUUAAAGAAGGAUUAAUGCAGACACAACUUAGAAUAGAUUUACAAGGAGAUCCUGCUGAAUAGCAUUGAGAACUAUGUCUAGAUACUCAUGUUGCAACAGAAGAAAGGGUGGGGGAAAACUGUAAUUGUAAUGUAUACAUGUAAGGAUAACCUGACCCCCUUGCUGUACAGUGGGAAAAAAAAUAAAAUAAAGAAGGAUUAAUGCCA
rnacentral:lncRNA from 1 species